rnacentral:rRNA from 1 species
UGGGGAAUUUUCCGCAAUGGGCGAAAGCCUGACGGAGCAAUACCGCGUGAGGGAAGAAGGCUUUUGGGUUGUAAACCUCUUUUCUUAAGGAAGAAAAAAAUGACGGUACUUAAGGAAUAAGCAUCGGCUAACUCCGUGCCAGCAGCCGCGGUAAUACGGAGGAUGCAAGCGUUAUCCGGAAUUAUUGGGCGUAAAGAGUCCGUAGGUGGUAUUUCAAGUCUGCUGUCAAAGGUCGGAGCUUAACUCCGGGAAGGCAGUGGAAACUGAGAAACUAGAGUGUAGUAGGGGUAGAGGGAAUUCCCCGUGUAGCGGUGAAAUGCGUAGAGAUGGGGAAGAACACCGGUGGCGAAAGCGCUCUGCUGGGCUACAACUGACACUGAGGGACGAAAGCUAGGGUAGCGAAAGGG